rnacentral:lncRNA from 1 species
GAUUGAACUAAGGAGGAUGGACAAAAAGAGUCUGUCGCCUAGGAGUCUGGAGAAGUCUUGGUAGCAGCGUGGUGGCAGGGAGCCAUUGCUCUGGGGAAAGGGCAGGCAGAAGACGGGACUCGAGUUGCCUUUUAGGGAAGCAGCUGUACCAACAAUUCCAGUUUAAAAAAUAACUUUGCCGGCACUGACCAAGUCUUGGCUCCUUCUAUCUGCUACACCACAAGGAGCACAUUUUGGAAUUCAACCCUGAGUCUCUCUGACACUCCUUUGCCUACCACUUAUGGCUUUUCUGUUGUAGGUCCCAAAAGUCUCAGAAGAAGAAGCCUCAGAAUUGGAUAAGAUGGAUAAUUAUUAAAAACAAGCUGUUCUAUUACUCAAGGAAUGAGAAGAAUAUGGGCCCCAUCGUCAGGGGAGAAAGAUGUGGCCGGAUUUCAGGAUGACCUUUCUGGUUAUUGUUCUGCCAGAUUCUUUCCCAACUAGCUCUUCCCCACAUGCAUGGCGGUGAUGACAUGAGGAAGAAGUCAGCCAAUCAAGACAGGAGGAAACCUUCUGGUUCAGAAGAUGGUCCUCCCUGAAAAACAGAAGCUUCCUGAAGGCUUCACUCCUGCAUCUACUGCUGACACAGGAUGAGCCUGCAUUGGAUGGAGCAGGUCCCGCACCAUUUGACCCCAGCCUCGGCCUCUGACAUCAGCUCCCACCAACCUUGCCUGGUGCACUGUCUUCCAGCAGCUCGGCCUUCUGUUCUCAGACCCUCUGGACUCGCAUCCACCUUCCACCUCCGCACCUACCACUAUUCCCGCUGCUCAGACCCGUCUCCCCAUCAAGGCUACCAGAAAGCAGCAUCUAGGAGGGCAGAGGCUUUUUC